GACAGAGGCCUCAAGCGUUAGGCGGAAUCACUGGGCUUAAAGCGUGUGUAGGCGGAUCGUUAAGUGUCUUGUGAAAUCCCACGGCUCACCCGUGGAACGGCUGGGCAUACUGGCGAUCUUGGGCCAACUAGGGGCAACUGGAACAAGCGGUGGAGCGGUGAAAUGCGUAGAUAUCGCUUGGAACGCCGGAAGGUGAAAACAGGUUGCUGGGGUUGUGC
rnacentral:rRNA from 1 species